UGGAUCACCUCCUAACAGGGAGACAACAAAAUGUUUAAUAUUACUAUUUCGUCACCUUAGGUCGAUCGGUAUCUCACAUUCUUAAUUUAUUAAGGAUUUCAUUUCCUAAGUUUUUCUAGGUCACACCCAUUAUUUUUCCUGGGCCAUUAGCUCAGGUGGUUAGAGCGCACCCCUGAUAAGGGUGAGGUCCCUGGUUCAAGUCCAGGAUGGCCCAUAUCUCUAUGUUGGGGGUAUAGCUCAGUUGGUAGAGCGCCUGCUUUGCAAGCAGGAUGUCAGCGGUUCGAGUCCGCUUACCUCCACUGAUUACCACCUCUUCCAUAAUCUGUAGAAAGGAAAAUUUUUGAGUUGUGAACAUAAAUCUGAACGAAUCUAGCUUCCUAAUGAAAUAUUAAGAUGCUGGACUCAUUGAAUUAAUUUCAUUGUUUUCAGGGAACCUUGACAACUGCAUAGAUUAUUUUUAAAGACAAUAAGCAUCUUUAUGAUGCAGAUUUAUUAUUUGUGCGAAUGCAUUAAUAACAAUUCUAUUAAGCUGAUGCUUCAAUUUUGAAGUUAUUGGUCAAGCUACAAAGGGCUCACGGAGGAUACCUAGGCACACAGAGGCGAUGAAGG
rnacentral:tRNA from 1 species